rnacentral:rRNA from 1 species
GUCUAUGGCCAUGCUACCCCGAACAAGCCUAAUCCCGUCUGAUCUCAGAAGCUAAGCAGGAUUGGGCCUGGUUAGUACUUGGAUGAGAGACCACCUAGGAAGACCAGAUGCUGUAAGCA